rnacentral:lncRNA from 1 species
UCGUGCUCUACGCAAAACCAUUUGCUUAUGCUCCCAAGACUCCUUAUGAGGAAUGUGAGAAGCCCAAGCCAACUCCUGCUCCUUACCACUACAUAUCUCCUCCGCCACCAACUUAUGUCUAUAAAUCACCACCACCUCCACCACCAACUUACCUAUACAAGUCACCGCCACCACCAGUGAAACCUCCACCAAAGCCGUAUUAUUACGUCUCCCCACCACCACCAACUUAUGUCUAUAAAUCACCACCACCUCCACCACCAACUUACCUAUACAAGUCACCGCCACCACCGGUGAAACCUCCGCCAAAGCCGUAUCAUUACGUCUCCCCACCACCACCUACUGUAUCUCCACCGCAUUAUUACUACACAUCACCACCACCACCGGUGAAACCUCCGCCAAAGCCGUAUCAUUACAUCUCCCCACCACCACCGGAGAAAUCUCCACCACCACCCUAUCCUUACAUCUCCCCGCCACCGCCGGAGAAAUCUCCACCACCACC